CACGAGUUCAGUUUCAAAAUUACUACAGUAAUUUACGUAUUUAUCAGAAGAGAAAAAGUAGUAUUCAUGUUGAAAAGUGUAAAAGAUUAUUACUAUGAAUAUUAAUUGAUUAUGAAUUUAUUGCACGUUUGAAGGAGCACUUGGUUUCCAUUUCAAAAUUAUUGGAAUUUCAAUUUCUUUUCUUCAAUUUUUUCUUUUUCUUUUAUAAAAGAACAAAUUGUGUAUCUGAAAUAUAAUAUUUUAUUGAUACAAUAACAUAAAAGAACCAUUGGUAUAUCCUGGUGGUCAUUCAUGAACGUAUAUGAGGUGUAUAUACAAUAACAAGAAAUGUUUAUAUGAAGUAUUUCUCUUUUGUACGAAUUUUACAAAAGAUUUCACGGUUGGCUUGGUUCUAUGCCGAUUCUUUGGGUGCCAGGAAUUUUCGUCGAGAGUUCUCACUAUGCUAAACACGCGGUGCCAAAAGAAGGUGCGGAGUAUUAGAUAACCUAGCACGGAGCUUAGCAAGAGAGUUUAACGCCACGCGACCACCAAAAAUAUCUGACCCAGGUGAUGCAAGAUCUUGUCAGAGUCGUUACACAUCGUUUGGGUUGAACGCGUGCUCGAACAGUGACAGGUGUGCCGAAACAACAACCAUGCUCGAUCGUGAUCUAAGCAACUAGGAAAAGAUAAGUAUCGUUCCUAAAGGACAUUAAAAGUCCAAUAGUAAAAGAUCAUAGAUUUCCAAAGUUUGAGACGCGACCCACUAAUGGAUCAAAUAUUAAAAUAUGAGAGUAGUUUACAUGUUUAUCAAGAAAGUUUUACUCAUCAAGAAUCUUCGAUAAACAAUUUUAACAGAAAGAAGAAUAUCUUCGGUAUAUCCUAUGGAAUGUAAUUUCUUGUCCAAGUAGAUUUAUUGCUUGAUAAAUUGAACUUGAACAAGUACAAAUAUUUUGAUAUUUAGAAUGUUCAACGUCAAGUUCUUUAGAAGAAGAUGGCUUUUGAAAACAACAUAUGAAAAUAAUAGUUCAACAGCCAUUGUGAAGAGAAGAAGAAGAAGAUAAUGAAAAGAAAUGUACAAUAAUGGGAAUACUGAAAAUGAUGAUAAAGAAUGGUUUUCGAUUAAGAAUGAUGUUUUUAGAAAUUUAUUAGAGUAAGUAGAUUUACAGAAGAGAAAUUAAAGAAGAAUGCAAUUGCUGCCAAGUAAAGUUUUAAGAACACAACAGAAAAGAGUUACCAAGUAAUUAAUCAGCGGUAGUACCUUGAAAAUUUAAAGAAGCAUUAACACCUUGAAUAUAUUCUAAACGGCGACGUUUUGAUACCAGAACAAUUAUCGAGAGAUAUGGGGAUCAGUUACCAGUUAGUAACCUUGUGAGAGUACAACAAUGAAGAUUAAUUGGAUUAACUAUCAAUACUUUUAUUACUGUAGAUUAUUUGAUACAUAGAAAUAUGUCAAAAGAUCUAAAGCAACUAGAGGAAAAUGAAGAAACUUCUACAACCUAAACAUUACAACAAUCCUUCAGGAUCCAUUAGACUAAAAUUGCACUUCACAUGCUGUGAAAUCAUUUCCAAAUUUAUUGAAAGAGAAAGGGGCACAAAUAAGCACAAUGUUUCAACGUUGAAGGCUAUGAAUCCUAUGAAUAAUGAAGAUGACUUCAAAUGAAAUGUGUCAAUACUCUCACACGUUUGCCUAUGAAAACAUGGUACGCCAGGGUCUAGCUUUGGUGUUAUAAUAUGUGCCACCGUGUAUAAAAUCUCGGUCGAUGAAAAUGUCGAUAUCAUCUUUCUAGGCAGUACCUGGGAGGCCGGUUUCUAAGUUUAGCGACGAGUAGGCGGCUUUGAGCCGAGCAACACUUGAAAAUAUUUAUAUAUUGGAUGAGCGAAACGUAUUUUUAUCGGUUAUUCGCAGCGAAAAAGUACAAAUACUUUAGCCGAGAUUCUUCGACGAUACAAAAUUCAUUGAUACCAUCGAUGAUGAUAUCAAUCCAUUGGAACAACAAAUUGAAGAGCAACAUCGACAGAAGAUAUACCAGUAUACUAGAGAUACUGGAUAUACUAGUUAAUGACUAUAUAUAGCAACCAACGAUUUCUUACUAUGAAAUAACUAUGAAGAAUUUAUAUGGAGUCAGGUUUCCUGUUCCUUAGUUGAUGAUGCAAUUUUCAAAGUGAAAUUUAGUUACUCUAUAGGUAUAGAUGAAAAGAAAAUACGUAGCAUGUAUUGCUCAUAAAUUUUCAUCAUUACAUCACACGUGUUGGUACUCUUGGCACGAGAUCUUAUCAUUUUGCACGCUUUAGCCUUUUGUCUCCCACAAAAUCAGAGGGAAUCUUAACAAAGUUCUAACGAUGCUUAAUUAUUUAUUGAAUUUUAACUUGACUUUACGAGAUUCGUCAAAUCAUUUAUGUAGCUUUUCUUCCUCUUUUAUUUGUUUCUGUUCUAUAGCGGGUUUUAAGAUUUUAUUUUGAUUUAGAUUUAUUGUUUCGUUACUGGAUAUUAUGAGAACAAACAAAGAAGUAAAUUAUAAGUGAAGAGCUGCUACCGCUAAUUUACAGGCGGAAUAUUAAUUUUAGACUUUAGCGAUCUGUAAGAUAAUAUGUUGAAAUUAUGUAUGUUGCAAAAUAAUCCUCGAAAAUGUCAAGAUACGGGUAAUGGAAGUAGAGGUAAGCAGCUGUCGUUUGGCACAAGCAUAGCCACCAAGGAUAAAGAUAGAUUCUGAAGUCUUGUUCCGCGCACUGUGGCAUGUAUAGUCUUUAAUCUUUUUGCUAUAAAAGUUAGAUUUACCUGAAAA